GAUGUCAUAAAGAAGGCAAGUGCGGGAGGCAGUCCUCUAGCCACAGUGUCCAUUGCUGCUAUGAUCUGUUGUCAUCGACCACGAAUACUGCUUUGGGGUCGCAGACCAAGCACUAUCAUGCGCUGUCCUUGACAGCAGGGAGUUCCAGGAUUUUCAACCACUUCAGAAGACACUAUGGUAGCUUGCGUCUUUGGUUCUUUGUGGCUAAAUUGGGCCAGUUGAGACUUUCAUCAGGAUGCUGAAAGGUGACAUGAGUCAGGGAAGUGAUUUUCUAAGAACUCUAUUAGUGCAGUGUGUCCAGGAGAGCGUCUUUACCACACCCCAUAGAAACUGAUCUGUCAGCUCCUCUGCCAGCGAGGGAUACAGCGCCGCUCACAGUACAGACUAAAAAGAACAUCCUCCACAUUAUGUAUGACCCAAGUAAAAAGUAAAAACUGGAACAAUAACAACAGGCAAACAACCUUCAGUGGAUCCAAAUAAGAUGUUUCUGAAAGCCUUUGAGCCAUACAUAGCAGGCUGCAGGCAGUUCCGAGGCCCGAUACAAGGUACUGCUUUCCGUUGUUGUUCUUUGUGUUAGCCAAGAUAACACCUAAAACUCAGAUCCAUGUGACCAAAACUCAAUAAUUUUGGCUUUCUUUCUUUCCUCUUGUAAGAGAUUAGAUGUUACCAAUAGUUAAUUCUUUAUCGUUUUUUGUUUUUUUAGCCAUUUACACGCAGUCUCCACUGUCACAUUUGGUGCCUCAUGGUCACAAGAAGGCUGCCACAUUUUAGUUUCAACUUUUUAUUUGGAAUAAAAAGAAGAAUUAAAAAUAGAAAGCCAAGCACUUUUAUUGGCAGAGCGAAGGAUCUUCCAGAGAUUAUACUGGAAAUGUUUCCUUGUGUGCCACCGGCUAGAGCUAGGUCAUGUAUCCAUCCCUAGAAACAAAGCAAAUAUAUAUGUAUACGCACACACUGUGUCCUUCUGACCUACUUUCCUGUACCACUCACAAACAUCCUGUGAUUUAAAAAGAAAUAGUGGAAAUUGGAAAUUGAUUAUAAGCAAGCAAAUAGCAGUCACUGUCAAUUCUUAGGAAGCUGCAAAGCACAUAAGCCUAUUUUGGAAAUUUUCUUCUUGCCUGCUUUCUUGCAACUAGCUGCCUCCUUUGGUGGAAACAACUGUGACCAUCUUCAGGUAUUUCAAGGAGAGGACUGGAUAUUUAUAGCAAUAUUCAGGCUUAACAGCUGCAUCUGGAACACUCAGGGAUCCUAGCAUUCUCAGAGACAAACAAUACUGCCUCUGAAGACAGAAUGUGCAUCAGAACUAUUUUAUGGCUUAGAAAUAAUUUUAUUAUCUGUGUGCUAAUUUCACAGCCUCGAUUCUCCUAGACAACCCCCUCACCUUCUCUGCAAAUCAGUCAAAGGCUGAGUCAUAUAAUUUUUUUUAUUAUUAGUAUUAGACUUUGGGACUAUAGUCUGAUGCAGUGUGCAAACACAAGCAAAGCAAAUACAUGACAACAUGAAUAAAUUCAUUGAAAGUAAACUAUCCUCUUAUAAUUACUUUCUUGGAUAUUCAGCAUAAUUCCUUCUCCUCGGGCAGCCUGGACAGCUAUAACUAGUUGUCAAAUCACUCAUACCAUUAAUAUUAACAAUAUAGCAUCUGUUGAAGACUUUCAAUAUGUCAUAAAGCUGUAAGAAAUAUGGCUAAGUCCCUGAAGAUGAAUUUAUACUAUAAAAUAAGUGAACAUAGUUGAUUUCAAAUAAUAAUUCUUCCAUGCAAAUUUUAUUUACCAGGUGGAAAGUGCAUAACCAAUGGAACUGAACCCUUCUAAAGGUUUUGGAACACUGUUGGCCAUUUUUCUAAGGAGGAUGGUGACUAAAGAGACAAGAUAGCUACGAGAGUGGAUAUUUGAAGGGGCAAUGUGGAGUCUGAGAUAUAUUCCAUCUAGAUUUCAUGUAUUGCUGUUCUUUUCUUGUUAAAAUGCUGUUCCAAAAUCUCAAUAUGAUGUCAUUGCUUAUCAUCACAGCAGUUGGGAAAUGCACAUGGGUGACUUGAUGUGGGUGUGGUUUUCUAGUGGGCCAGCCUAGCAGAAUCAGUGAGUCCUGAGUCUCAGUAAGAGAUCUUGUUUCAAAAAUCGUGAGUGAGUGUGUGAGUCCUGAAGAACAAGAUCCAACAUGUAUCUCUGGCCUCUGCAUGCCACCAUGCACACAUGUGUACCCGUGUGCACACAUAUGGCUAUACAUGUCCUCCUUAAAUCAUUGUAAUCACCUUCAAAUGCUUUCAGCCAAGAGUUUACCCAAACCAUGACCACAUGGGAAGCAUGCAACACUGAGACUGUCUUCUACAAUCCAUCUUCCCUAACACAUCUAGCAGGGCUCUUGGUUUCUCUCUGUCUCUCUCCCUCUCCCUCUCCUACCCACUCUCUCUCUCCCACACUAUCACACUACUCAAUUUUCUCUUUCAUCCCCAUGCUUUUAUCAUUCAUAAGUGCUAACAUUUCUUGUUUUAUACAGACACUGUUACUUGAUAGACGGUAAAAACAAUUUUUGAGAACAUGAAGACUAUUGGAUGGGAACGGUGUUAACUCAAACAUAUCUGAAAAAGCAGGUUUUUGUUUAAAGUCAUUUUCCAUGAUUCCAAACUCCUUUCUUGGUACUAAUUUCCCUAGCUUCUCUUGCUGCCUUCACUGUUAGUCUCCUUGUCUAAUUAUUUACAGCAGUAAGACUUUCCCAUCAUUCUUGAUUUAAUUUCUUAAUUUAUUCCUUCUUCCAUCCUUAGGAUAUUUAUUGGGUAACCAAAGGGUGAGUGGAGAUUUUUAUGCAGGUCACACCUUCCCGUGAAUAACAAUCUUGGUGGCAGGGAAGUCAGGUUCCUUCUACAGAGAUUAAAAGCCUUACAUCUGCAGAGGUAUUUAAUAACGUAAGGACAUUGGGAUGUUGUCUUGCUAACUUUUAAAGGUAAUUAAAGCUGUAACAGUUCAGGCUCUCCAUUGAUAGGAGUAGAACAUUCUCGAAGCUGCAAGUUGGAGGAGAAGAAGCCAUCCCAAACCUUGCAAGCAAGCAACUCUGAUAUAACUAGGCAGUGAGCUCAUAAAUGAAAUGUAGCUCGCGGAGUCACUGUGCUCAGUGAAUUUUGAAGGUUAAACAUUUCAGUUGUUAAUUUGCUCUUAUUAUUUUAAGUCAGGACAUGCGUAGACUUCAGUUUAUUGAGGUACGUGACUAAUGAAUAUAUGGCAUUUUUACAUACGGGCUAAAAUCCAAAGCAUUCAGUAUACAAAAACACCGAAGGAUUUGUCUAUGUUUAAUCACAGUUACUAAUAAAUUAAAAAACAUAACCAUAAGAUUUCAAAAUGUACUGUGGCUAAGAAAUUCUUACAGAUAGUAGCCUUUAGAUUAGUUCCACAAGGUUCCUUAGAAUAACCCAUACUAUGCCAUAUCCCCCACACAUAGUUCAAAUAUUAAGUCAUCGUUUAUAAGCUUCUUAUAAUUGGUAGCCCCUUAAUUUUUAUCUUUUAAAAAUUAGUUCACAAAGUAAUUGAACUUUUGUGAGUAGUCAUCAUACCUAUUUUAUCUUGGUUGAUUCUUGUCUCUUCCCCAUUGUACCCGUAAUAUGCUUUUUCUAGAAAUCUAACAUUUCCUCUACUGCUCAUCCAUCCAAUCCUUUGCCAAGGGUUCCUUCCCUUUUUUGGUUACAGUGUAGAAUGAGAAGUAUCAUGAAGAAAGGAAAUAGCAAAUGCUCCAGAAUAGUGAACUAGUCUUUUGUUUGUUUUUUUUUGUUUGUAUGGUUGGUCGGUUUUGGUAUGGUUUGGAUUGGUUUUGUUUGAUAACUGUGCCAAAUAUUUUCAAGAAUUAUCUGGAUACUUCACCUUAUUUCUUUGCAACUCACUGCUUACAUUAGUGUGAAGAGGGAAUAAGGAGAGGGGCUUAGCACUCCUGGCUUCCACUUUCUGGGAAUGUUUAAAAUAAAUUACCCUGCUUUUCAAGUAUGCCACACUGGGUAUCAUUCAUUUAC
rnacentral:sRNA from 1 species